AUUUUUUCUUACACAUGUGUUUUUCUUUUUUUGAAAACUUUGCUUUGGUAGGCCUUCUAUAUGGGGCCUGCCAGAGAUUAAACUCAACCAAAUUUUAUUUAAUGUCAACCGAUUAUUUAAUAGUCAAAACUUUCAACAACGGAUCUCUUGGUUCUCGCAUCGAUGAAGAACGCAGCGAAAUGCGAUAAGUAAUAUGAAUUGCAGAUAUUCGUGAAUCAUCGAAUCUUUGAACGCACAUUGCGCCCUUUGGUAUUCCAAAGGGCAUGCCUGUUUGAGCGUCAUUUCUCCCUCAAACCCUCGGGUUUGGUGUUGAGCGAUACGCUGGGUUUGCUUGAAAGAAAGGCGGAGUAUAAACUAAUGGAUAGGUUUUUUCCACUCAUUGGUACAAACUCCAAAACUUCUUCCAAAUUCGACCUCAAAUCAGGUAGGACUACCCGCUGAACUUAAGCAUAUCAAUAAGCGGAGGAAAAAA
rnacentral:rRNA from 1 species